rnacentral:misc_RNA from 1 species
GCCGAAGGUGGGGCUAAUGACUGGGGUGAAGUCGUAACAAGGUAGCCGUACCGGAAGGUGCGGCUGGAUCACCUCCUAACAGGGAGACAACAAAAUGUAAAUAUUAAUUUUGUCACCUUAGGUCGAUCGGUAUCUCAGAUUCUUUUUUUUAAGAAUUUCAGUUUCUAAGUUUUUUCUAGGUCACACCCAUCACUUUUUCCUGGGCCAUUAGCUCAGGUGGUUAGAGCGCACCCCUGAUAAGGGUGAGGUCCCUGGUUCAAGUCCAGGAUGGCCCAUAUCUCUAUGUUGGGGGUAUAGCUCAGUUGGUAGAGCGCCUGCUUUGCAAGCAGGAUGUCAGCGGUUCGAGUCCGCUUACCUCCACUGAAUACCACCUCUUACAUAUAAUUAAAGUGGGAAAUUGUUUUGAGUCGUGUCCUAAUUUGCUCUGAGCGAAUCUAGCUUCCUAUUUUAUCCAAGAAAUAAGAUGCUGGACUCAUUGAAUUUUUUUUCAUUGUUUUCAGAGAACCUUGACAACUGCAUAGAUUAUUUUUGAAGACAAUAAGCAUCUUUAAUGAUGCAGAUUUAUUAUUUGUGCGAAUGCAUUAAAUAACAAUUCUAUUAAGCUGAUGCUUCAAUUUUUGAAGUUAUUGGUCAAGCUACAAAGGGCUCACGGAGGAUACCUA